UACGAGGGGGGCAAGCGUUGUUCGGAUUUAUUGGGCCUAAAGCAUCCGUAGCCGGUUCUGCAAGUCUUCCGUUAAAUCCACCUGCUUAACAGAUGGGCUGCGGAGGAUACUAUAGAGCUAGGAGGCGGGAGAGGCAAGCGGUACUUAGUGGGUAGGGGUAAAAUCCGUUGAUCCAUUGAAGACCACCAGUGGCGAAGGCGGCUUGCCAGAACGCACUCGACGGUGAGGGAUGAAAGCUGGGGGAGCAAACCGG
rnacentral:rRNA from 1 species